rnacentral:rRNA from 1 species
UACGUAGGGAGCAAGCGUUGUCCGGAAUCAUUGGGCGUAAAGAGCGCGUAGGUGGCUUUAUAAGUCCGUUGUGAAAGUCAAAGGCUCAACCUUUGAAAGCCGAUGGAUACUGUGAAGCUAGAGUACGGAAGAGGCGAGUGGAAUUCCUGGUGUAGCGGUGGAAUGCGCAGAUAUCAGAAGGAACACCAAUAGCGAAGGCAGCUCGCUGGGACGUUACUGACACUGAGGCGCGAAAGCGUGGGGAGCGAACAGG